rnacentral:rRNA from 1 species
GAUGAACGCUGGCGGCGUGCUUAACACAUGCAAGUCGAACGAAGCACUUUAUUUGAUUUCCUUCGGGACUGAUUAUUUUGUGACUGAGUGGCGGACGGGUGAGUAACGCGUGGGUAACCUGCCUUGUACAGGGGGAUAACAGUUGGAAACGGCUGCUAAUACCGCAUAAGCGCACGGCAUCGCAUGAUGCAGUGUGAAAAACUCCGGUGGUAUAAGAUGGACCCGCGUUGGAUUAGCUAGUUGGUGAGGUAACGGCCCACCAAGGCGACGAUCCAUAGCCGACCAGAGAGGGUGACCGGCCACAUUGGGACUGAGACACGGACCAAACUCCUACGGGAGGCAGCAGUGGGGAAUAUUGCAAAAUGGGCGAAAGCCUGAUGAAGCGACGCCGCGGGAGCGAAGAAGUAUUUCGGUAUGUAAAGCUCUAUCAGCAGGGAAGAUAAUGACGGUACCUGACUAAGAAGCACCGGCUAAAUACGUG